AUCUUUGCACUUGGCGCAAUGACGCAGCUAGUGAGGUAAUAUUCGAGGCGCGUCAAUUGCUGUUUGAAAAUUGAGAAUAUUAGUUCCACUUUUUCCAGUGAAAAGAUGGCCUUUAAAUUAAGUAAGGCUGUCAAGU